CCAAUGUUGUUAAUUAUAAAUUAGUUUCAUGUGUUAAUUAGUCACUAUAUAAGAUUGAUUGGGUUAUAGGUGUAGAGAUUUGUUGUUUUUAAGAACCAAUUUUGGUUAGUUGAUAAUUUUGGUACAGAUUGAAGGGAUGUGGUAGAAUAGUAAUUUCAGUAAUUUCGGGGGUAUUUUGAAAUUGAAAAUUUGGACAAUUAUUUAUGGUGAGU
rnacentral:lncRNA from 1 species